rnacentral:lncRNA from 1 species
CAAACUGUCUGAAUAUGGUAUGCAUGCUAUAACUUGUACCUACAUUAUGAGACAAUGUAACACAUAGACAUAUAUGUAGAUCAGUACUUUGAGAAUGUACUGAGUAUAUGAUUAAUAAUAGCAUACUAUUGAUUAAUAGUAACAUAUUAUUUGAUGAUUAAAAGGUAAUCUUUUAUUUUUUGAAUAAAAUAUAGGUUCCUUUUUAUUAUAAAUGGAAGGGGUAUUUACUUUUUCUGUAACAAACAUAUACACAAUACAACACAUACGAACACACCAAAAAUACACAAAUCUGCUCUCUCUCUCUCUUUGAACUCACUCUUUAUACUUUUUGUCCCAAAAGCCACCAUUAAUGCCGGAGCUCUAGUGAGUGGGCUCCGGCGACCACCACACGACAGCCUCCGCCACACCUCUCUCCUCUCUCUUUUCUUUCUUCUCUCUUUUUCUCACUCCCAAAACCACCGCCAACCACCCAUAAACCACCAAUGUUGCUCCUUAUCCGUGGCUGCCUCGCCGAAAGUGAUGACCGUCGAGCGCCACCGCCUCCGAUCGUCUUUCUCCCCUCCUCCAUUUGCUACUGUUUGCCAAAAAUGGGCUAGAUCUAUCUAAGAAACCUCCCAACGCACCACCACCGCCACUGCCUUACUAGUAUGGCCUGAUUUAGGCGAAAUUUUGUUUUUCUCGGCAUUGCUCUGGUGAACACCGUUGAAGAAACGCCACUAACAACCUUUGUUAUCUCCGAUUUUGUGAUUUAUUUAGUUUUUCUGAUUUUUAAAGAAAACCAGAUUUGUGCAUUUCUUGUAUAUUUUAGUGACCUUGAAUUUUCUUGAAGAAUACUGUUUGUGGGUUCUAUUGACGAUGUCUUUUGGUGAUUGUUGCUCUAUUUUUCUACUAAUUUGGACUGAGUUUUGUUUGUUUUGCUUUAUUACUAUGUUUUGCAAAUCUUGGGACUGUUCUAGUGUCAUUUUGUCUCUUUUACUGAUUUUUGAAUAUACUUUACUGAUAAUAAACAGAUACUACACUAAUUAAUUCGGCCAUUGAAAUUAUUUUCCCGUCAGAUAUUUGAGGUGACCCAUUAAAAAUACGGACUUUAUUUUAUCAAAAUUAUUAUUUUAUAUUAAAGACCUACAUGGCCAAUGAUAUUAUUUUUACGUCGAGUUUUUGAGGCCAUCACAUUACAAAGACGGAUUUUACUUUUCUAAAAUAUUAUUUUACAUCAAGGAUUGACGCAUGGUCGAUGAAGAAAUAUUCCAUCGAUUUUUUAGGGUUGUGCAAAAAUCGAAUCGAUCGAUAAAUCGAACUGAUAAAAAUAUUAUUGGGUUAUUGGUAUUGGGUUAUCGGAUUAACAAUUUUUUAUUAGUUUUAUAAAAAAAUUUAUUGGGUAAACGGUUCGGUAUCGAUUUUAGCUUAUUAGGUUAUCAGUUAAAUUGAUAACCCAAUAAGAAUGCACUAAGUUAUUGUUUUAUUCCUAUUUAUGUUAUAUAUUUAAAUAUCUCUCUCUAUGUAUAUAGAUAGAAUGUGUAUGUAUAUAGAUUAUAUGCACUACUAAUUUAUAAUUUAGUGAUUCACAAAGUAUUAACCUAUUCAGGGCAACAAAGGCACAAUAUAAAGUUCGACUAUCAUCGUAAUAAAAAACUUGAAGUAUUUAUAGCUUCCAACAAUUAGGAUUCAAUUUUUUUCCUUACUAAUAUUCAGUUCAAGUUUGAAGAUUUUUGUAAAUUAAAAUACAUUGCGUAGGUUUUGACGGUAAUUAAGAUUUAAUUUUUUUAUAUUAGUUGUUACUAUUUCUAUUUUAUAAGUAUUUCCUUAUUGGUUAAACCAAAAAUCGAACCGUUAAGGAUAAAAAAUCGAUAAAUCGAAACCGAUUAGAAAAUAUCUUAUUGGUUGGUUAUUGGUUUUACAUAUUUAAAAAUUGAAAAUCGAUAAACUGAACCAAUAACACGUAAAAUUGAACCGAACCAACCGAUGCACACCCCUAGAUUUUUUAGGCCUUUGCAAAUAAAAAGACGGAUAUUACGUAUAUAAAUACGUAUAAAAUAAAUAAAUUCAAAAAAGAUUUUAUAAUUCGUAUCUUGGUAAGGCGUUUUAGGACGGCCGAUCAAUCAAGCAAUCACUUCGUAGCCAUGACGAAUCUAAAACUUAAUCUGAGUCCACCUUUAAAUAAAAAUUAUAUUUUUAAAAGUACAUAUUUUACAUACUUUUUUAAAUUUUAUUUUGAUAAUUAACUAUUUGUUACCAACAUUGUUACAAGUGUUUAUACAUGUUAUUUUGAAAUACUCGGUGGGAGUUGCGUUCAGAGAGACCUUUAAAUUUUGUAUUGUAUUUUUAUAUUUUUAUAUUUGUACAAUACUAUUAUAGUGAAAAACUUUACUCUUUGGGUGUCGGGUGGGGAUAUUCUUCAUUUACAUAAUUUUAUCGCUUUAGGCAAACUUAGGCCGUUAAUAUUUAUACAAAAUAUAAUUAAUUUAAUCAACUAAGGGCUCGUUUGGCCAUGAAAAUUUUUCCCUUUUUUUCGAAAAAAAAAUUCGGAGUUGGAAAUUGUGAUGUUUCGCCAUGAAAAUUCGAAAAAUAAUUUCGGAAAAUUUUUCUGAAAAGGGAAAAUAGGUUUUUGUUGUUUUCACAAUUUUUCAACUCCAAUUUCAACUUUUAUUAUUAUUACAUAUAACCCCAAUCUUUUAAAUUUUUACAUAAAACUCUCCUUAUAACAUUACUUUUUCAAUAUUACGUAUAUAGCAGUUUUAAAGAAUAAGAUAAUUAUAAUUUCAAACUUAAUGUUAUCCUAAUUAAUAUAUAUCUCUUUUUCUCUCUCAUUAUUAUUUUUAUCCCUUAUUUAAUUUUAUUCCUUAUUUAAGACAUUAUUUUAUUGCUAAUUUAUAUUUAUACCCAUAAAUAUAUAAAGUAUUAUAUUUAUAAAAAAUUAUCACUGAUAUGGUGUUGCCACAUUUUGUUACUGUUAUUGCUAAUCUUGGGUUUGUUUGCACCCGAAAAAUUAAUUAUAUAGAUAGAUUUACUUCGCAUUGACUAAUUUUGGGACUGUAAUACAUGGCCGAUGACAUUAUCUCUCCGUCGGAUACUUGAGGCCACCACAUUACGAAAGACGAACUUUAUUUUCUCACGUUUCCUAUUUUAUAUCAAAAUGAAUACAUGGCCAGUGAAGAAACUUCUGUCAGUUUUCGAGGUCUUCUCAAAUAAAAGACAGACAGUACAAAUACGUAACAAAAAGAAAAUAAAUUAGGGCGAUGACAAAAAUUUUAUAACAUCACGACAACACGAAGGAUUUUUUGAUUCAUAUUUUGGCAAGACGAUUUAGAAUGACCGAUAAAUCGAGCAAUCACUUCGUAGCAAUGGUGAUAUCUAAAAUUUAAUCCGAGCCCACGCUUUAACAAAAAUAAUUCUAUUUUAUGUAUAUUUGUAUACAUAUUGCACACAUAGUUCUUAAUUUUAUUUUACUUUGUUACUAA